AAAUAGAUACCCGUGGUAGUCCACGCCGUAAACGAUGAGUGCUAGGUGUUGGGGGGUUCCACCCGUCAGGUGCUGAAGUUAACACAUUAAGCACUCCGCCUGGGGGAGUACGACCGCAAGGUUGAAACUCAAAGGAAUUGACGGGGGCCCGCACAAGCGGUGGAGCAUGUGGUUUAAUUCGAAGCAACGCGAAGAACCUUACCAGGUCUUGACAUCCUCUGACCACUCUAGAGAUAGAGCUUUCCCCUUCGGGGGACAGAGUGACAGGUGGUGCAUGGUUGUCGUCAGCUCGUGUCGUGAGAUGUUGGGUUAAGUCCCGCAACGAGCGCAACCCUUGACCUUAGUUGCCAGCAUUCAGUUGGGCACUCUAAGGUGACUGCCGGUGACAAACCGGAGGAAGGUGGGGAUGACGUCAAAUCAUCAUGCCCCUUAUGACCUGGGCUACACACGUGCUACAAUGGAUGGUACAAAGGGUUGCGAAGCCGCGAGGCCAAGCCAAUCCCAAAAAGCCAUUCUCAGUUCGGAUUGUAGGCUGC
rnacentral:rRNA from 1 species